rnacentral:rRNA from 1 species
UACAGAGGUCUCAACCGUUGUUCGGAUUCAUUGGGCGUAAGGGUGCGUAGGCGGUCGCGCAAGUCGGAUGUGAAAUCUCAGGGCUCAACCCUGAAACUGCAUUCGAUACUGCGUGGCUCGAGUGCUGGAGAGGAGACUGGAAUUUACGGUGUAGCAGUGAAAUGCGUAGAUAUCGUAAGGAAGACCAGUGGCGAAGGCGAGUCUCUGGACAGCAACUGACGCUGAGGCACGAAGGCCAGGGGAGCAAACGGG